AAAGGGUGAGCUGCUUAACUACUUGGAAGACAUGGUGGGCAGCUGUGCUACCAUAAGGCAAGAAAUCAAGAUUAAGAAAGUUCGCUCCAUAUGAGUUUGAAUUUGUCGUAAACUUGGUUUUGACAAAUUCACAUGGAUAGAAACAGAUACACUGUUUAAAUCUAAGUGUCAUAAGAUUUCCUCCUUCAUGAAAAUGAUUGUGAGGAAAUGCUUUCACUAAGACAGAUUUUAAGAAGAUAGUAAUUGUAAAAUUGCAUUCUCGAAUUCAAUUAUGGUUACGGCAUCCCUUUCCAUAAUUUGAAUUGUGAGGUUUGGCAAUUAGUCUUAAUUGUUUAGACACACAUAUGAACUAUCGAAGGCAAAGGUGUAUAAGUUCAAGAAGCAUUGAUAAAGGAUUAUCAAAGCACUAAGUAUUAGAAACAUGAACUUAAGAAAUUCAAUAAGUAUUGUUUUCUGAAAGUUAAGAUGUUUAUGAAUACAUGUCGAAGCUAGUGGGAGCAUAAGUGUUAUGUUUUAUAAUAAUCAUCAUGAUAGUGGGAGCAUAAAUGUUAUGAUUGUAUGAUUAUUAAGGAAAGUAUUGCAAGGUUAGCAAUAUUAAUUAUAGAAAACAAGAGUCAUACUUUGCAAAGUUGUAAGAGUUGAAAGGUUGUUUUGCUAUAAUUAAGGGAGAGAAUAUUAUGCUUCAUUUCAAAUCUAAAGGAUUAGGUUGAGAAAUGUUAAUAAAUUUAGUCAAAGGUACAUAGUGUGUUCUUAAAAUUUCGAUUAUGAUUACGGCAUCCCUCUUCACAAUUCGAAUUUUGAGAACAUAGCAAAUAAAACAUUAUGCGUCGUGUCCCAUACGCUUCGGGUAUAGGAUCGAUUGCAAAUGCUUUAAUGUUUGACCAUUCUAAAAUUUUCCAAAUGUCGAGCGCAUUUAGAGGGAAAAGGGACUAGAAUUGGUUUUGACUAAAAUAAUUAAACAACUAUCAAAGGACAAUCCAAAGUUCGACGAGGAUUGGUCGCUUGUGAGUAGUUGGAAGUAUAGUAUUGGAAAAUAUGGAAAUGUUUCCAUAUUGGAUGGACCAUAUCGACAUCAUUACGAAUAGAUAAGAUUCUAUUAAGAAUGAGUUGUCAUAUGGAACAUAUGGAAGUGUGUCCAUAUUGGGAAUUGAAUAUUGAGAAAUCUAUGACUAGAUUAGAAACUUCUAUGCAAAAGGAUGUUCAAAGAAUGUACUUUGAGUGAGAGACAUCACAUCUAUGGAAUUGUCUUGUAACAAUCUCCGAUAGAGGACUUUGUAAUAUCAUUGGCAAUAGUCUUUGUGACUUUGGUGCAGUGACAUUACGAAAGGAUAGUUGCAUAGAAUGUUAGAAUCUAGCAUAUUCUAUAAGUAGCAAGAAUUUGAUAUUCUUUAACCUUUUGAAAAAGGAUUUGGAGUUGUGAAAUGAGAAUGAUUGGAAAUGUGUUCAAUGUGAUCUAUUUCACAAAGUAAGAACCAUAGGUAAACAUUGUGUGCAUGCUAGGAGCAUGGGACAAGUGUUGUAAUUCAAGUAAGAAGUUGAUUACCCGAAACGACAAAUAAUGAGUAAUCAAUAUGGUGAUAAAUAAAAGGUGUUUUAUUUAUACUCAAAGGUUUGAGGCCAUAUGGGAUUAGUAUUAUUCUUGUGUUUCACAUUUGCAUGUUUUGACUUCCAGAAUAAUUGAGUUUAUUAAGAAUAAUCGAAUUAUUCGAACGGGCCACAGUCGUUCAUAUGUUGGAAGUAGAUAUGAAUGAAGACUGUCGUGAAUUGGUGUGUGGAUUGUCUAAAAGAGUAUUAGACAUAAGCAAAUGUUUGCUGCAACGUUCAUGAGUGCUUAUGAAUAUGAUUUGAGCAUUGGAUUAAACCCACGCUCACUUGGAUCACUCCAUGAAUUGUAUCACGAGUGAUUGGUGAGACGAUAACAUCUUAUAUUCUUGAAACCGAGAUGUGUGAGUUGUAUCUUGCAAAUCGGUUGCACAUUGAUAAUAUGUAAACGCACUAGUAACUUGGUGUUAUAAAACAUAUUGUUGUGUGUGAUUCGGUGAGUGAGUGCAAGCAAGCAUUGUAUCAAAGUUUAUCCGUUCCUUUUAUCCAAAGUAGGAUAAAAGCGAUAUCUUUGGGCCCCUCGAUGAUUUAGUGAUGACAAACGUAAAUGCUCGGCCGGGCUAGGGCUAAUUUGAUUUGUUCAAUUAGUCAGUCGUCAUAAAUCGGGAAUCGAGAUAUAGUACAAAGAGAAUGAUUUGAAAUCAUAUCUCAUAUGAUAUCUAGAAUGGAGGAAUAUAUGAUCCCUUAUCUAAGGACACGCGUAUCUGAUAGGAUCAGAGUUGACAGCGGCUUUGGAAAGCUACGAUUGCAGAUCAGGAUCUGAAGUCAUACGCAGAAUAGUUGUUAGACUUAUCCAAGUGGGAGACUGUUGGAUUAGUGUCUAAGUCCAUAACUAUUUUGGUAUGUACUUGACCCGAUGGUGCAUGGUCCUUUUGGGUUGCCUUCACCAAAGCAACUUGAUUGGAGAAAUAAAUAGAGAGAGAGGUUAUUAUGAUUUAUUAAUAUGUUAUAAGAAUAAUAUAUUAAAGGAGAAAUCAUAUUUGUUUAAUUAAUAUUGGUCAAUAAUUAAUUAAGAAUUAAUUUUGUGAUCAAGUGUAAUUAAUUAAACUAGAGGGGCUGAAUUGUAAUUAUGUGAUAGUUACAAAAUAAGGUAAGGAUUAUCUUAUUAAUAGGUUGGACGAAUUUAAGGUGAUAAGGCCUUAGAAUUCGACUAGGAUAAGGGUUUUCAAGGCUUAUCUUAUGGUUACUUGGUGGGCAAGCAACUAGAUAAGGAUAAGGACUAAAACCCUAAUCUCUACACCUAUAUAAAGACCCCAAGGCUCAUGAAUUCGUCCAUGCCUUCCCAAGAGGUCCUAGAGACGAAUUCCUACACCUCUCCUCUCUCUUUAUACCUUCUCCAUUUGCUCUUGGUGUUUGUAAGCCAUUAGAGGAGUGACACUUGUGACUCUAAGCCUUCCAAAGUCAAUUCAAGGAGGAAUUGGGAUUGUUAUUGCUACAUAACAAUCAAGGUAAUAUCUUAAACCUAAUUAUAUGUUAAUAUUGAUUUCCAUAUGCUAGAAUUAGGGUUUAUAGUCUUGGAUUCAAAGCAUGUACAAUAGAGAAACCUAGAUCCAAGCAUUAGGGUUUGUAUGAGCACAUAGGAUGUCUUAUGACCAAAACCCAUCAGUGGUAUCAGAGCCUAGACUGGUUUCAAUUGUAUUGAUGCAUUGUAUAUCUGAAAAAUUCGAUUUUUGGUGUUCUGGAGGCUGGACUCGCCGAGUCCAUAGCUGAACUCGCCGAGUCCAUGCAGACUCGACGAGUCCAAGCUUGACUCGACGAGUCAACUCGUCAGAUGGAGCAUAUCUCGGGAUUUCUUGCUGUUUUUGCUUAUGGAUAGUUACCUUAUCAUAUUAGAUCAAUAUAAAUCCGAUUUUAUGAUAUAUUUGACUAUAUUCUUGAUCUAAUUGAAGAUAUUUAUCAAUUAAUAAAAUAUUUGUUUCCUUAUGUGAUAAUUGAUUAAUUAUUUUGAUUAAAUUGAUAAAUUGUUUUGCAAGAAAUCAUUAAAUAAAUCAAAUAUGGAUAAUUAUGUGAUUAAAUGUUAAUUUAGAUUAUUUGUUAUUUGAUCCUUGUUGUUAUGAAAAGUUUCAUAUUUUCCCCUUUAGGUUUUAUAGUUUAAAUUUGAACCCAAAAGUUUUGUUGUUUUGAAAUUUAAAUAGUUGAAACCCUAAUGUUUUGAAAAAGGUUUCAAAACUUGCCCUCAAGUUUUGGAAUUUAAAUUUUGAUUAAAUAGUUUAAUUUUGAUGUAUAUUUAAAUUCUAAACCCUAAUGUGUUGAAAUGUUUCAAAACUUGCCCUCAAGUUUUGGAAUUUAAAAGUUGAUUAAAAGUUUAAUUAGGAAUGUUAAAUUCUAAAACUCUAGUAUUGUUUUGAAAAAGUUCAAAUCACACCCUUAUGGUUUUAUUAAUUAAUUAAGGUGUAUAAUUAAAAGAGGUUUAAUAAAUCCAUAAAAGUUUUGGUUUACAAUUUAAUUGAAUUAAAAGUAUAAUUGUUAAAUUUGACCACCUAGUAUUUUAAAAGUGUAAAAUACACCCUAUACUAUAUAUAACAUUAAAAGUCUAACAUUAUAUAUAUGUAUGAGUAAAAGUCAGUCUUACCGUUAGUAGGCCUCAUUCACGAAGCUGGUCUAUAAGGGGUGUUUAAGGAAAUUGCCUAUAAAAUGGCGAUUGAAUGGGUAUCCACUCUUACCCACCGCACUCUUGACUAGUGGAGGGUCGUUAGCCGAACGGGUAGGAUAGGACGAAACCUUCCAUUAUAAGUAUAAUGAAUUAUAAAAGUAACUAAAUGUUUUCAUAAAAUUCCCAAUCUUAGUUACUUAGGCAAAAGUGAAUUGAUGCAAUUCCAUGAAAUUACACUUUGUGCCCUUGCGAAGACGUUAGUGGAGCGUGUGUGGUUUACCGGCACACUAAAUGGUUCUAAGCAAAGGUAGCAAAGGGUGACUCAAUGUUUGUCAUAGUUCGGUGGAGCGUGUGUGGUUUACCGGCACAUCGAAUAGGUGACUGUAACAUGUGAGGGCACCAUGUAAGUUUGCAUGGUUAUUCACACCCGCUUUGUGAUCCUCGGCAUCCCAGUCACAAACUAGAGGGGCAUAUCGAGAUUUAAACAUGCCAUUGAAAUGUUCAAUGAAUCUCAAAGGAUCUAGGAGUUUUCAUAGAUUUAAAACUUAAAUUUCUUUUUCGUUUUUCAUGGUGGAAAUUAGUGAAUCGUCAUUCACUUACCUUCAAAUGUUCUGCAAUUUGGGUUACGGCAUCCCUCUCCCGAGUUGUAGAAUAUUGUGUUGGGUCCUAGCCUUAGUAUCUCAUUUGGGUGAUUUACUAAGGACUCAAUCAAUCAACUAACUUGAAUUCGUUUUCUCCCGUUUUGUAGAUGUCAAAGUUCGACAACUAUGGUCUUCCCAAAUCCCGUGGAACAAGCAUUCCACAUGAAGAUGAUAUUCCACGAUUCGAUCGAGGAACAAGAAAUCAUGCUUCACUUCCUCCACCUCCUCCAAUUAUUCUCCCUAACCCACAAGUUCAAAGGCUUGAAAAGUUCAAGAUCACUCAAGCCCUUUUGGCAAGUAAACAUAAAGAAGGAAAGUCGGUGUGUGCACACGUCCUAGGGAUGAAGUCACACAUUGAUAGGUUAAGAAUGUUGGGAUCCGUUGUCUGUGAGGAAAUGGCUGUUGAUUGGGUUCUUCAGUCACUUCCUAACUCAUAUAGUGAGUUCGUAAGAGAGUACUAUAUGAUGAACUGCGACGUGACCCUUAUAGAUCUCACCUAUAUGCUUAUUGCUGCUGAAUCAGCAAUGGUUUGGCGCAAUAGAAAAGCAAAGUUGAUUGGUGAAUCUGCCUUCAAGACCUCUAUGGAUAUAGACAAUGGCAACGAAAGACAUGCUAUGAUCGAAAAGUUUGAUCAUAAGAGAAAGACAAUGUCUGAAGUAGUUCCAUGUCAUGUUCCAAAAGAGUCAAUUUGCUUUUAUUGCCAAGAGAAAGGGCAUUGGAGACGAAGCUGCCCCAUUUACCUAAGAGAUCUAAGAGAUGGGAGAGUCGAAACGUAUGGCUCUAAUAUAGGUAAAAUCCAUUAACUAACUCUUUUAAGCUUCUAUUCUAGAUUCUUAAUACAUAAUGUGAUAAGAUUACAAUUGAUGUUUUGUAGGAUCGAAGAAAAGAAAGGAAGCUUAAGGGAAGAAGUGAGCAGAAUCUAACCGUGAAGGAAUGGAUUUCGAUCGCAUUUCUCAAAGAUUAGAUUCUUGAGCUACUACUUAGAGUUAGAAUUAGAUUGCUAAGAAAGAUGUAUUAGCAUAAGUUUUUCAAUGAGUUGCAUUGUAAGGACAAAUUUUUCCGCAAUAAAAUAAAUUUUGAUUUUAAAUUUUAUUUAUUUAUCCUUACAAUGGCGUGUAUGAAAAAUUGAUGUUAAAAUGUUUCUAUUAUUAGCAAUAAUGGAUUUGGUUCUUAUUAUGUUAUUUAUGGAAAGUCGAGAAUUUACCAAAUAGGGAGAGUUUCUCAUCGCCCAAGUUUCAAUUGGACAGAAACUUGGAAUCAUGCAACUUGGUUGCACGAUGAAUGAGAAAUUUCAUAUUUGGAAAUUAGACUAAUUCAUUGACAAAGUGUCAAGUGAAGGACUAGGAGAUCGAGUACACAAAGUUGCGUGUUGAUCAAGUCCACCAUAAGAGUAACAAAGAUAUUCGUCAUGAUUUACUAAAGGUUUAGUAAAUAUGAUUAUACUUAUAAGAUUAAGUGUAAUUCUGAAUUGAUUGAAAAGGUUUAAAUCAAUAGCAGAACGAAUAAGAAGAAUCAAGUAGGCAGAAAGAUAAAAGUUUCUCCAUUCUAAGAAGAAGGGAGAGUACCUUUUAUGCUUUAUGAUAGGUCUUAAUGAUUAAGAACCAUAUCUCAAUUGAUCCUCUAAGUGAGUCUUAGUACAAUUGUAUGUCUAAGAAGAGGAAUCAAGAAUUGAAGAAAUGGUUAAAUCAAUAAGUCAAUCAUACUUCGUUCCAAUAACAAGUCUUAAAGUUAAGAUUGUGACAUUGAGUGAAAGGUAUUAAGAAGGUUUGUAACUUUCAUUAAAUGUGGAAAGUUGUGAUGUCUUGGAUAAGACAAAGACCAACUAGGACCAAUUUAUGAAGUGUUUUGAUAAAAGCUACACUAACUCUUGAAUAUUUGUUUGUCAAGAAAUGUUUUUUGACAAGAGAAUCUUAUAUGUCAAGGAGUCAGUGGGAGUCUUAAUGGUCUUGAAAGGUUUCAAGAACAAAUCAAAUAAACCUUAUCGAUCAUCACUAGCACACGAGUUGAGGUUUACAACCUAUCGUGUUGACAUUAUUUUGAUUCUGUGCCAAUCCAAUCGAGUUAAUUAUGCAUGUGAGUUCUAUGAGUUCUCAUUUUGAACGCAUAAAAGGCAAAGCACCUUAAUCAAUGAAAGGUACAUUGAUAGGAAAGGGUGAGCUGCUUAACUACUUGGAAGACAUGGUGGGCAGCUGUGCUACCAUAAAGGCAAGAAAUCGAGAUCAAGAAAGUUCGAUCCAUAAGAGUUUGAAUUUGUCGUAAACUUUGGUUUUGACAAAUUCACAUGGAUAGGAACAAAUACACCGUUUAAAUCUAAGUGUCAUAAGAUUUCCUCCUUCAUGAAAAUGAUUGUGAGGAAAUGCUUUCACUAAGA
rnacentral:lncRNA from 1 species